AACAGGAUUAGAUACCCUGGUAGUCCACGCCCUAAACGAUGUACACUAGUUGUUGUGAGGCUCGACCUUGCAGUAAUGCAGUUAACACAUUAAGUGUACCGCCUGGGGAGUACGGUCGCAAGAUUAAAACUCAAAGGAAUAGACGGGGACCCGCACAAGCGGUGGAGCAUGUGGUUUAAUUCGACGAUACACGAAGAACCUUACCUGGACUUGACAUAGUAAGAAUGAUUUAGAGAUAGAUUAGUGUCUGCUUGCAGAAACUUGCAUACAGGUGCUGCACGGCUGUCGUCAGCUCGUGUCGUGAGAUGUUGGGUUAAGUCCCGCAACGAGCGCAACCCUCGUCCUUAGUUGCUAACAGUUCGGCUGAGAACUCUAAGGAGACUGCCUACGCAAGUAGGAGGAAGGUGAGGAUGACGUCAAGUCAUCAUGGCCCUUACGUCCAGGGCUACACACGUGCUACAAUGGGGUAUACAAAGAGCAGCAAUACGGUGACGUGGAGCAAAUCUCAAAGAUGCCUCCCAGUUCGGAUUGUAGUCUGCAACUCGACUACAUGAAGUUGGAAUCGCUAGUAAUCGUAGAUCAGCUAUGCUACGGUGAAUACGUUCCCGGGUCUUGUACUCACCGCCCGUCACACCAUGGGAGUUGAACUCAUUCGAAGCGGGGAUGCUAAAGUAGCUACCUUCCACAGUGGAUUCAGCGACUGGGGUGAAGUCGUAACAAGGUAACC
rnacentral:rRNA from 1 species